rnacentral:rRNA from 1 species
CGGCAACAGCUCAAAUUUGAAAUCUGGCGCAAGCCCGAGUUGUAAUUUGUAGAGGAUGCUUCUGGGUAGCGACCGGUCUAAGUUCCUUGGAACAGGACGUCAUAGAGGGUGAGAAUCCCGUAUGUGACCGGCCCGCACCCUUUACGUAGCUCCUUCGACGAGUCGAGUUGUUUGGGAAUGCAGCUCUAAAUGGGAGGUAAAUUUCUUCUAAAGCUAAAUACCGGCCAGAGACCGAUAGCGCACAAGUAGAGUGAUCGAAAGAUGAAAAGUACUUUGGAAAGAGAGUUAAAAAGCACGUGAAAUUGUUGAAAGGGAAGCGCCUGCAAUCAGACUUCGCGGCAGUGUUCCGCCGGUCUUCUGACCGGUUCAUUCUCUGUCGCGAGGCCAUCAUCGUCUCGGCCCGCUGGAUAAGACCUUGGGAAUGUAGCUCACCUUCGGGGGAGUGUUAUAGCUUAGGGUGAUGCAGCGCGGCUGGGGCGAGGUCCGCGCUUCGGCAAGGAUGAUGGCGUAAUGGUUGUCGGCGGCCCGUCUUGAAACACGGACCAAGGAGUCUAACAUCUAUGCGAGUGUUCGGGUGUCAAACCCCUACGCGUAAUGAAAGUGAACGGAGGUGGGAACCGCAAGGUGCACCAUCGACCGAUCCUGAUGUCCUCGGAUGGAUUUGAGUAAGAGCAUAGCUGUUGGGACCCGAAAGAUGGUGAACUAUGCCUGAAUAGGGUGAAGCCAGAGGAAACUCUGG